AUGAGACUCAUUUUUCAUCUACCAAGCGUUAUGGGAUGAAGCACCAGUCAUUAGAAAUGGAUUUUCCAUUCUGCAUCUUUUAUUGCCUGAUGGAUAAAUAAUUCUACAAGUUCUUCCGUGCUAUCCUUUGGAAACAAGAUGGGCUGUUGAAUCGUAAAGUCGGAUGAAGUUUUAACUGUUGCUGUGACUGACCUAAAGAGGAUUUGCCUCCACCAAUGCUACCCUGGAGGGAGGUCCCAACUAGGGUCCCAAAGAUAAUCCUGAGCAGGAGAUUACAUGAAUACCUCACGUCAUUGUGAUUCAGCAUUUUCAGGAAGAGCGCACCAUUGCACUAUUGAAAGUAUGGAACCUCCUGGAGUAGUUGGAGCUCACACUGAUAUAGGAAUCUGAUAAAAAAUAAAUUGAUGCUUCUUGUAUUUUGGUCAAGACUUACUGCUGUGACUUGUUCCCAUGAACCAACAUCCUCUUGUGAAGGAAGGGCCAAAGUUUCCUUUAUUCCCAAGAGAACUGAUUACAGUGACUGCUUCUAUUUUGCUCAUGUGGUGGGAUAUACUAUUGACACAGCUGUCUUAACCUAUGUGUGGCAAAAUAUUUGCUUACUAAAGACCAUUCCUCAUCACCAUUUUCCUUAGAGGAGCAUCAUGCAAAAAAGAGAAGCCCAUGGUAGUCAAGACUGUGGCAAUACUAUACUCCCCAUCAACAGCCAGAUGCAGCUAGAAGAAAACUUCCAAGAAGAGGCAGCAGAGUCUAUAAGAAGAUGUUGAACCUGUGUUGGGCAGCUGGUCUCAGCGGGGCCUGUAAGACAAGCAUCAAUUGCCAACCCUCGGCAUGUGGUUUAUUAUCAGUGAGUGGCAGUAGAGAACUGACUGAGUGCCAAGAGAAGCUGGAACCUCCUCUUGCUCAGCCACAGCACAGACCAGCAUAACCGGACCAACGGCUGGGUGCUUGGGGCAAGUCUCCCUGCAGUGAAGGGAGGAGGAAUGAGUAGUGAUGCCUGGGACAGAGAAAGUAGUGGUGUCCCUGGGGGCCAUACCUGUCUAGAGCCCAAUAUAGAGAAGGGACAGUUUCCAAGCCAGUGAAAACAGAGAUGGGUGGGAUGGACCCACAAGAGAUAUUGGAGGGAACAGGACACGGCUUUGCAUGGUUUUUUGGGGAAAGAAGUCUUCAAAUGAGAGGGAAGCCCCAGAUCUAUGUGGAGAAAUAUUGCAUCUUUUUUUUCCUUUCCUUCCAGAACCAAAGCAGUGAGAGUGGCUUUUAGAAAAUACAGAAACUGUAAACCCUGGUGUGGGGCUUGUUUGCAGUGGGUAGUGAGUGAAUGAAUAACCCAUUUAGGAUUAUAUUUUAGAUUUUGGAGUCUACAUAUAUUAGUCCAAUCUCUGUGCUCCUCCUCAAAUACUCCCUAAAGCAAUAGCCUGGAUGGACCAACACCGCCCCAAAUUAAAGGAAGAAAGAAAUUCUGGACUAAUAGACUAAAGGAUUGACUCUCAUGAUUUGAGGAGUAAAUAAAAUGUCUCCCAGUAUUUCCCAGCUUAUCUUCCCCCUCAGCUACCAUGAUCUUUUACUGCUAAUUUUUAAAACCUAAUUGCUUAAACAAACUGACCCCACUUCCUUAUUCCCCUCACUCUUCAACCUGACUUUUGUCCCCAUCUCUCCUCCAAUAGAAUUCCUGCUAAUGACCUCCAUGUCACUAAAUGCAAUGAGCAUUUUUUCAGUCUUCAUCUUACUUGACCACUCAGCAGCAUUUUUUUUUCUGUGACGCCUAAUGUCCCUCCUACCUUCCUAUCUCUUAUUUUUAGACUUAUCCUCUUUUCUUGAGACCUUAAAAGUUGGUGCCCCUCAAGAUUUAUUCCUAAACUUUUUCUCUUAAUCGACAUCCAUAGAUAUGGGAUGUCACCCCUACCCAUUUGAAGCUAUCAAAUUCUCUCAUUCAAUCAAACUUAUCAUACUAAUCAAACUUAACUCUUAUUCCCCCUUGCCCUCCCAUCCUCCAAUUCACUCUCCACAGUGUUGUUUUAAAGAAGUACUCUUGUCACUUCUCUGCCCUUGGAUAAAGACUGGCUUCUGCUUGCUUCUCCUACUGCACCACAUUCAGCUUCUAUCAACAUCCUCCUUUCAGUUCUUUCUCUUUCAAGGUCUUUGCUAAGGCAGUUACCUCUGCCUGGAAUAUUUCUACCAUUCUCUGUGCCCCCCACAACCUCAUCUAGUUCUUGCCUAAUCAUCCUUCAUGUUUUUGCCCAAAUGUUACUUCCUCAGGAAGGCUUCCUGACAACACCAAAAUAGAUCAAGUCCAUCUCUCACAUGCAGAGCCCCGUGAACUCUUCCUUUAAAGGCUUGUCACUGUUUUUAUGUAUUUGUGUGAUUAUUUAAUUAAUUCGUGUCUCUCGUAUUAGCUCCAGAAGGGGAGAUGCCUUGGCUGUUAGUUCUCUCUGCACCUCAGGAACCCAGGACAGAGAAUGAGUGAAGAAACCGAGGUCUUCCACAGCCAGAGGGCAUGGGGAUGCUGGAACACCCAGAAAUGGAUUCUUCCUGUGAGUGACAUCACACAGUUGGAUUGGAAGUUUCCUGUUCCAUCUCCAGAGGAGAUGACAGAGUGUGGCUUUAAGGAGAUACUGGGUAGGAAUAAUAUAAUUGAUUUUGUUUGAUGGUAAUCUGAGGUUUCCCCUGGCAGAAAGAUGUACAAAAGUGUGCCGUAAUAUUUAAGAAGCACAUAAUGCUUUCUAUCUCAGAACCACACUGAGAGAUUUAAGCUUGAGGCUCCUAUGAGGAGAAAAGCUGCCUUCAAAGAUCUCAGCUCCUUUUUCACUUUUUAUGUUUUUCCAGCAAAGAGCUCAAACUUGGUACUUCUACAAAUGCAUAUUUGUUAGCUGUAUUGUGACACAAUGUUUCCCAAAUUCAACUAAGGAAAAUGCCCUUCAGUCCUGUAAUGUUAAUACUCUUUCCCUUUUUAUGGCACCCACCAUCCAUUACUACCCCUCAAUCUCAGCAGGGUUGAUUUAUUUUCCAGGGAUAUUUUCUCUCUUAGAUGACCACAGUUGAUGGUGGAUUAAUCCACUCACAUGAACUGUGCUAAAGUUUUAUAGGAAUUGUGGACAUUCUGGCAGGUAAGUAAUCAGAAACACCCUUUGGCUCCCCUCAACUACCAGGUGCAGACCUUGCCUCUUGGACUGAGAAGCCUUUCAGUGAGUCAGAAGAACAGGUAAUUGCAUUAAUCUUAUGUAAACCAGUCACCAGGAAACACUUGCUAUUUAUUCCACAAUCUAUUCUCCCUCUUUCAUCAUCACCAUUUGUGUUCCACCCAUACAGCAAAGCUCAUCUAAGAGAAAAAACAUUGCCAGCAGUAUUUACCUUCUGCUCAGCAUGAGAACGUUUGUCUUUGUGCAGUGAAUACGUCUAUUUAUAAGCAAACAGUAAUACUCUGGAAAGAAAAAUGAAGUAUG